UAUUUAUUUAUUUGUUUGUUUGUUUACUACAUUUAUAUCCUGCAUUUCUCACCCCGAAGGGGACUCAGAGCGGCUUACAAAUCAAAUGUACAUGCAAUAUAUUAUUAGCAUAGCACAAUAUAAGCAUUAAAUUACUAUAUUGUACUAUAUCAUUAUAUGGUAAUAUUAUUAGUAAUAUUACAUUUAAUAUAUAAUAUAUCAUUAAUAUUAUUAUAUUGUAUUAUUAGUAUAAUAUUGUAUCACAUUAUAAUAUUAUUAUCAAUAUUAUAUGUAUAUACAAUAUUUUAUAUAUCGAUAAAUUAUUAUAAAUUAUAGUUCAGUAUUUGUGUUAUUGUUCUCAAUUUGUUGGAUUUAAGUCUACAAUUUAAUAAAAGCAGGUUAAAAUGAAAACCCAUUAACGAAAAAGUAGGCCUCAGUUAAGCGAUUCGAAGACUAGGCCUCGGGAAGGCCUCUCAACAUGGCGGGUUUCGCCUUGUGCCAGUCACAAAAAUGGCGGCCCUUGCUUCCUCCUCUAGGGUUUCCUUCCCAAGAUCGGGAGAGUGGUGCCGGUCCAGUAUCUCUUACUAGGACUAGGGACGGCGGAUACGUUUUUCCUCCCCGACAUCAAAGAAGAGCGACUGCCGGGUCUGAACCGCUUUUCACCCCUUCUCCCCGUUUAUUGCCAGGAAGCAACAUGGCGGCGCUGGCGUCAACUCUUCAGGACGCGCUUUCAAGCCGUAGUUUCCGAUUCCGGCCUGUCGGAGCGGGGGCUCCGGAUUGAAAAAUGGCUGAGGCGAGCGGCUUUUGGUGUGAGGAAGCCGGUGGAGGGAGUGAGGCAUUGCUGGUGAUGAAGUUGUUGAGAUUGUUGUGAUCCCCUUCGGAGAGAUGGAUCAGGAAAGCGGGCCAGAAAUGGCCGAGGUUUUGCCGGGAAAUGAAAAGAUGGGGUCAGAUCUCUGUGAGCAAGAAGCAGAAGUCCAUCGGGACAGAAAGGCAUCUUCAUCAAUAGAACCUCUUGGGGAUAACAAGGAGGAAACGCCAGGCUGCGAAGCUGGCAGCGUUUUGAUGGAGAUAGAAGGAGAGGUGGGAGACCAUUCUCCGGAUGGGAAAGGCCCAAAGUCUGUGCAGAGUGUGGAACCGUUCCAAGAGGUCAAGGAGGAGGCUGAGGAGAUGGGACUCAUCAUCCCACUGGAAGAGCGAGAAGAAGGAGGGAAGAGGAAGAAGCGGAAAGCCACGAAGCGGAAACGGGAAGGAAAAAUCCCUGAGGAAAAUGAAGGAGGGCCCUUGGAUUGCGAUCUCAAGCUGGACGACACCCUGGACAAGACUUUGGAAGAUGGGGCCAAGCAACACAACUUGACUGCUGUCAAUGUGCGAAACAUCUUGCAUGAAGUGAUCACAAACGAGCACGUGGUGGCCAUGAUGAAGGCUGCCAUCAGCGAGACGGAAGACAUUCCCAUGUUUGUAAGUCUCUCCCUCUGUUUACUUGUUCUUUUUGGGAUGGACCCUAAGGCAGCUGUAGGGAAACUGUAAACUGAUUUGCCCUUGGAGAAGAAAAAGAACCCGCGGAUCCAUUUUCCAGCCAUAUGUAAUGGAACGACGGAUUAUUUCUCCCCUUUUUUUCUCUUUCUUAGGAACCCAAAAUGACUCGCUCCAAACUGAAGGAAGUGGUGGAAAAAGGCGUGGUGAGUUCGUGUAUAUAUAUUUCCCCUUGGCCUUGUCAGUUUGGGAGAAUGUUCAUUUUAGAUUGAACUGUUUUUAUAAUAUAACUAGCUGUGCC
rnacentral:lncRNA from 11 species